rnacentral:lncRNA from 1 species
AUAUUUCUAUUCAAGAUUAUCCGUUUGAGAAAAAAGAAGAAUUUAAAUAUCAUUAUCACUACAACAAAAACGGCCUAUAGCAACACUUUUAAAUGUAGGUACAUGUCAAAAAAGUACUGCUAGCUAAAAUUACCGACACUUUUAAAAAGUGUUGCUAUAUGUGGGGUCGCUAGGCAUAUAGUGACAGUUGAAGAGUGUCGCUAUAACCUAAAAGAGUACUGCUAAUUUACGAACACUUAUUUAAGCAUUAGCAACCGCCGAAACUCUAUCUCGUUGGCUGCGGUGGCGGAGGAGGACGACAGGAAAGGCUCUUCGUCUAGAAUUUCAGUGGAUUGAGUGAAGAGAGAAGAAAAGAUGGUAAUUGAUUUUUCUUUUUUUUUCUUUUCUAUUUGUAAUCGGGCCAAAUGGACUGGGUGUGGUGGGUUGAGUAGAGUAAUCUUUUAUUUUUGGUUGGAUUGAGCUUUAUAUUUAGGCAUUAGUAGAUGUUUUUUUAAGUUUUAGCAUAAAUGGGACACUUACUCAAAAGUGUCCCAAACAUGUGUCCCUAUAACCUAAUUAUGUUGUAGUAUUACAUAUUCAUUCUAAGUGGUUCCUAUUCUUAUUCUUAUUCUAUUUUUAAAGUAGGCCUGUUAAUAGAUCAAAAUUUGAAAUGCAUGUUUUUAUAUAUAGUAUAGAUUAUAGACGAAAAUAACUUACAUCUUUGUUGGCUCCCUUUUUCAAUUACUUGAGGGCAAGUAAAGGAUAUGGAGCAAGAAGAAAGAAGAAAGAUUUAGUCGUUGAUCAAGUGUGUUGAAACGAGAGGAGUAUAAAACUAAAUCUUUAAUAAAUAUUUUUGGACUAAAUUUCGAUGGUGGAUAAUUUUCCACACAUUUACAGCCGUCUAUAUAUAAACAUAAAUCAAAAUCCUAAUAACAAUAACUGAACGAGAUUUAAACUUAUCUCUUAUGUCUAACCAACAAAAUAUU